rnacentral:rRNA from 1 species
UAGGUUAAUGAGGCGAACCGGGGGAACUGAAACAUCUAAGUACCCCGAGGAAAAGAAAUCAACCGAGAUUCCCCCAGUAGCGGCGAGCGAACGGGGAGGAGCCCAGAGCCUGAAUCAGUGUGUGUGUUAGUGGAAGCGUCUGGAAAGGCGCGCGAUACAGGGUGACAGCCCCGUACACAAAAAUGCACAUACUGUGAGCUCGAUGAGUAGGGCGGGACACGUGGUAUCCUGUCUGAAUAUGGGGGGACCAUCCUCCAAGGCUAAAUACUCCUGACUGACCGAUAGUGAACCAGUACCGUGAGGGAAAGGCGAAAAGAACCCCGGCGAGGGGAGUGAAAAAGAACCUGAAACCGUGUACGUACAAGCAGUGGGAGCACGCUUAGGCGUGUGACUGCGUACCUUUUGUAUAAUGGGUCAGCGACUUAUAUUCUGUAGCAAGGUUAACCGAAUAGGGGAGCCGAAGGGAAACCGAGUCUUAACUGGGCGUUAAGUUGCAGGGUAUAGACCCGAAACCCGGUGAUCUAGCCAUGGGCAGGUUGAAGGUUGGGUAACACUAACUGGAGGACCGAACCGACUAAUGUUGAAAAAUUAGCGGAUGACUUGUGGCUGGGGGUGAAAGGCCAAUCAAACCGGGAGAUAGCUGGUUCUCCCCGAAAGCUAUUUAGGUAGCGCCUCGUGAAUUCAUCUCCGGGGGUAGAGCACUGUUUCGGCAAGGGGGUCAUCCCGACUUACCAACCCGAUGCAAACUGCGAAUACCGGAGAAUGUUAUCACGGGAGACACACGGCGGGUGCUAACGUCCGUCGUGAAGAGGGAAACAACCCAGACCGCCAGCUAAGGUCCCAAAGUCAUGGUUAAGUGGGAAACGAUGUGGGAAGGCCCAGACAGCCAGGAUGUUGGCUUAGAAGCAGCCAUCAUUUAAAGAAAGCGUAAUAGCUCACUGGUCGAGUCGGCCUGCGCGGAAGAUGUAACGGGGCUAAACCAUGCAC